AAAGAUUCCCUCAGUAACGGCGAGUGAAGUGGGAUUUAGCCCAGCACCGAAUCCUAGCGAGCGUUGCUUCGCAUGGACCUGUGGUGUUUGGGGCCUUGGCUUUCGGCUGGCGUCGGCGCGCCUCAGUUCCAUUGAAAGGGCAGUUGCUCCAGAGCGGGUGCCAGACCCUUGUGUUGCGCGCGGCUGUGUCGAAUGCUCUAGAGGCCCCUCGAGUCGGGUUGUUUGAGAAUGCAGCCCAAAGACGGUGGUAAGCUCCAUCGAAGGCUAAACAUUGCCACGAGUCCGAUAGCGAACAAGUACCGUGAGGGAACGUUGAAAAGGACUUCGAAGAGAGAGUUCAAGAGUACGUGAAACCGCCUAAAGGGAAACGAGUGGCUCCGCAUUGUCGGCCUGCGGCGUUCAGCUUGCGAUUCUCGAACGGCUGUCCGGCCAGGUGUCCAGCACGACAGUCCUCUCACGGGGGCUGUGCGGCGGCCUGGUCGUGAAGUGUGCCGGAGAGCGCGUGCAUUCGCCGCGAGGCAGGGCGUCACGAUCGCUUCUCGCUGCUCGACAGUCGGCGAUGCCGGCGCGUUAGACAGAAUCCGUUCGCGUGAGUCUGUCGAACCGCGCGGCGCGCCUUCCCGGGUAGUGGGGAGCGUGUAACGAUCGCAGCAGCUCUCGCAGUUGCUGCUUUGCAUCGGUGGCGAAUGAGUCGGUCUGCUACUC
rnacentral:rRNA from 1 species